AGGAAAAGAAGACAGAUAACGAGGAUGAACAAAAGAAGGACAAGAAGAAGAAGGAUAAGGAGAAAAAGGAAGAAGAGAAGUCAGAUAAAGAGGAUGAUGUAGAAGAUGCCAAAGAGAAGGAGAAGAAGAAGAAGAAGAAAGAUAAUAAGGAUAAGGAGAAAAAGAAAGACCAGAAGUGUGAUAAAGAGGAUGAGGAAGAAAAUGUCGAAGAGGAGGAGAAGAAGAAGAAGAAAGAUAAGAAGGAUAACGAGAAAAAGAAAGAAAAGAAGUCGGACGAAGAGGAUGAUGUAGAAGAUGCCAAAGAGGCGAAGGAGAAGAAGAAGAAAGAUAACAAGGAUAAGGAGAAAAAGAAAGAUAAGAAGUGCGAUAAAGAGGAUGACGUAGAAGAUGCC
rnacentral:lncRNA from 1 species